AGACAGCAGCCGCCGCGGUAACACGGAGGGUGCAAGCGUUAAUCGGAAUUACUGGGCGUAAAGCGCACGCAGGCGGUCUGACAAGUCAGAUGUGAAAUCCCCGGGCUUAACCUGGGAACUGCAUUUGAAACUGUCAGGCUGGAGUCUUGUAGAGGGGGGUGGAAUUCCAGGUGUAGCGGUGAAAUGCGUAGAGAUCUGGAGGAAUACCGGUGGCGAAGGCGGCCCCCUGGACAAAGACUGACGCUCAGGUGCGAAAGCGUGGGGAGCAAACAGGAUUAGAUACCCCUGUAGUCCCUGUCUCUUAUAC
rnacentral:rRNA from 1 species